rnacentral:lncRNA from 1 species
AUAACAGAACAUAAAUAUAAAACAGAAUUUGCUAUUAAAACAGACCUCAAGAAUUUAAAACGAGUUCCUUGCACCAACGAAUUGAAAGAAAGAUUUAGUUCUCCAUGUAAGUGGUGGCUGCUCUAGGGUUUCUUAUUUCCAUGAACAGUGAAUGACUAACCCUAGCUGCCUUAUUUUCGGUUUAAAUAAUACAUGGAACGGGCCUUAAAACAAUUGGGCCGAAAAAUAUAAAGUUGUGCUGAAUUAAAUUCGUCUGGAACAUAAACGCAGUUAUUUGACACACUUGCGCUCCGAACUGGGUUUUGGCCUCAACAUGAAAAUCGUAGCUCUUGAUCUCAGCUUUCCAACGCAUCUUCUCGCGCCUCAAUCCGAUAUUUGUAACUCCAGUUAUGACCUGCGGACCGGAAGGGUGUCAAAGUGCUAUUUAUUCAUAAAUUAAG